CAGGCAGGAACCACAUAAAAGUGGCAGGACAUUAUUCUUUCUCUAGCUUUGCAUUGCAAAGUCUUUUCUUAGCUGGACUAACUGUAUAUAUAUAUUCUUGCUGAAUGAAGUGAGUUACUCCUCAGUUAUCUUCAGAGUUGAAAGGUUGGACCCUCACCAGCAUCAGUUUCAGCCAUCAGAUGUCCAGUCUCCAGAUUCAACAACGCCUCAUUGUCAUGGACACCAUCUUCCUUAUCUGCCAAAGCGCUGCCAAAAAUCUGAUCCCCCUCAUCCUCCUAAACCCUGUCCCAGGCCCCAUCCGCCAAAACCUCAAGAGCCAGGGUACCCGCAUCCCUCAAAAUGUCCUUGCCCACCAGCCCAUCCGCCACAGUGUCCUGAACCCCCAAACCGCAGCAUCCUUCUUGCCGGCUACGGUAUUGUCUGCGACCCCAUCACUGUCCUCACCACCAUCAACACCCACCACACCAUCAUGCCCCAGGACACCACCCUCAAAUGUUUAGUCUGUCCCACAUUCUGAGUCGUGUAUUUGGACACCACCAUCAUGGCACUCAUCACAAACCACCUUCAAAUGACUGCAACGAAACAGUUACCAAAGAUGGCUGGGUGUUGUGUAUAAAGUCAUCCUGGAAUAAAACCGUGGGUUAAAGGUUAACAGCUUCACCACCUGAGGACUUCAAACUUGAGCUCUUGCUGAGAACUGAGCCUCCGCAUCCUAGCCGCCUUAAUGGGAUACUACAGGUUAAGCAGUUGUGGAAACAAAUGUACUGCCAUCCUCUUGAUGCAUUAAAAAAACAUUUUCAAAA